GAUGAGGUGGCUGGAGCUAGCCCACUCACAUGCCACCUUCCAGACUUGUUACAGAAGAUGACUAUCGGAUGCCUUGAAACAGCUAGACUGCACAUGAGCAGCACGCGUCCCCCCCUCCGCGUCCCCUCCCCAGAACGUGUCCCAGGGAGCGGUCUCUUUCCUUCACUGCGCCUUUGAGGGAAGAAUGGGAUCUAGUUGGCUAAGCACCCAGGACAAGGUUCUAGCAACUCAAACCCACCCUCCUGUGAAUCCGCCUUGUCCUAGAGUACCACUCUGCAGUAAGGACAUGUGACACGAUGUCCUUCCUACACUCAAGAGUCAUGACUGCUGGAUAGCCCCCUGGACGGAGGGAGCAGGACAGAAGGCGCCUUAGGGAUGAGAUCUCAUGAUGGACGCACAGGACACGGGAAACUGCAUGAACACCAUGUCUGCUUAGGAUUUGGAGAAAAACAGAGCUUUGCAGCCAUGAGUUGGAGCAUUUUCCCAUCUCCAUCUUUCAUUUGAUAGAGGGAGU
rnacentral:lncRNA from 1 species